UUGAAAGAAGAACGAAAAUGGAAAGGGUCGUCUAUGAGGCAGGCCAGUGGGCACUGGGGGACAAGGUUUCUCAACCCCUUUUCCCCAAGAUUGUCAGAGCUUCACAGCCCCCAGUUUGUGAAAACAUUGCUUCUGAAGACCCCAUUCUUUAGGGCCGUUUGACUACUUCUCCUUGGUGAGCUGGCCCUCCUAGGACCUUGGCUCACUGUUUGAUUUGGGGCAACUUUCUGACUGCCACAGGCCUCAGCUGCCUCAAAAGUUCCUCAGGUGAGCCUUGUGAGAACCAAAGAUGAUGAUGCAAGGCCCAGAAUACAGUCGGUGAUUAGAAAGGAUCAGUAUUCCUUUCCCAGAAUGGGAGAGUGAGAAAAAGAAUGGCUGUUGGAACCAGAGCCACCUCAUCAUCUUCCUUGCAGAAUAAUGUGCUGCUUCUCCCCCUGAGGACAGGGACCUUGGCACAGCAUGCCAGCUAUGUGACAACUUAGAGCCCCAACUGUUGCCCAGCCAACCAGACCACACACUCAGGCCCCCAUCAAAUAUUGAUGUCAGGUAUAAUGUCUCUGGAACACGAUACACCACUUCUCAAAUGAGAUCCUGCCCUUCCAUGACCCAGAGGAGGGCGAGAGCUUUUCAUGGCCCAUAAGCAGCUGCACAACUGACACGUACGAGGAAGAGCCAAGAGUGAGUUUAGUAAUUAAGGGAGGUCUUAGCACAAGUGAACCCUGACCAGCAAAGAGGAGAGAAGAUAACUAUGUCUACCAAGCAAGCCAUGGAAUAACAUUACCCCUCCCAGCGCUAGAGAAAUAGAGAGAGAAGGAGGUUCCAUCACCCUGCUCUGUCAUCACCCUCAAGCACCGCUCACCUACCCAUUCCUCACUCCCUGUGAGGCCCCCUCAGGCACUGGGACAGAAGUGACCCUCUGGCAACAGUUUUCCCAUCCCAGCUGAGACUGCUGACUUUCUCAAGUACUGACAAGAUGUGUUCAUCUUUGCAUCCUUAUACUUGUAGCCUUGAAGGUGAAGAAGAUGAGAGAUGAAGCCAUCUGCCCAAGCCCGGAUAGGUGGUAACAGAAGGCAGGAGCUCUUUGCAAAGCACCACACCACAUGGGAUGGACUUAUAAAUGUUAGUGGUCAACCAUGAGUGACAAGGGAGUUCGGGCCUGCACACCAGCUUUGCAGCAGCAUCAAGAGACCUCUGCAAACGUAAGCAAAGCUGCCCAGGGCGGGACUGUUUUGAGCACCACUAGUCCAUUCUCUCUCUGGAGACCAGAGCGGCAAUGGCUUUGGGUGGCUUCCGGGCUGCUGAAGAGGAUCCUCAUCCUAGACUUGGCAAGAAUCUAAAGGAAUCUACGGGGGGAGCAGGAGGUGGGGUCAAGGGCAGUAAA